CCUGAACUGGAGCUCUGACCAAGUUUGGAAUUUAGAAACUGCCUGAACAAAACCACAGCUCUAGGAUUGGAAGGGACCAGACUCUUCCUCAGCUGUAUCUAUUCUCACGUGUGAUCCAUCUCUUAGUCGUCAAGUAUGUGCUGGUUGAAGAAUUGGGGCUUCUCACCUGCUAAGCAGUCUCUUUACCUUUGUUUCCCUGACUCCAGAAUUUGUAAAAUGUUUGGAGCUGGGGAGAUGGCUCAUCAAGUAAGAAUACUUGUUCCUGCAGAGGCCCAGGUGUGAUUCCCUGAAACCACAUAGUAGCUUACAACCACCUUGUGAUCGUUUGCAUGUUCUUAGCCCAGGGAGUGACACUGUUUGGAGGUGUGACCUUGUUAGAGUAGGUGUGUCACUGUGGGCAUGAACUUUAAGACCCUCAACCUAGCUUCCUAAAAGUCAGUCUUCAGAUCAGAUGAAGAUGUAGAACUCUCAGCUCUUUCAGCCCCAUGCCUGCCUGGACUCUGCCAUGUUCCUGCCUUGAUGAUAAUGGACUAGACCUCUGAACCUGUAAGCCAGCCCCAGUGAACUGUUGUCCCUUAUAAGAGUUGCCUUGGUCAUGGUGUCUCUUCACAGCAGUAAACCCUAACACACAUCUGUACUUCCAAUUCCAGGGGAUCCAAUGCUCUCUUCUGACCCCUUUAGGCACCAGGUGGUACACAUACAUUCAUGCAGGCAAACCAUCAUACCCAUAAGAUAAAAUCAAUAUAUACAAUGUAAGAGCUAUUAUCGUUGAAGGAGGGGGAUUGUCACUGUGGGAGGGGAAUGUGCAGGCCAUAACCCCCGUGUGGAGGUCAGAGGACAACUCUGUUCUUUAUUUCCACCCUACAUGGUCUGUGAAGGUUGAGUUCAGG
rnacentral:lncRNA from 1 species